UUACAAUACGAAAGCAUUAAAUAUACAUUUACCCCUGCACAUCAACGACAGCCAGGCAAAUCGUUUCCCCUAUUGGACUUCAAUAGUCACAGCUGCAAACGUAAAGAGUUUACAUUACAAUCGUUUUGUAGAUGCCAUUAUCAAGCAAGGAAAAAACAGCACGGCAUAGAGAUCGUUUAAAAAAUGAUCCAGUUGCAAGGGCAGAGUACCUUGCCAAAAGAAAAGCAAGUUACCAAAAAAGGAAGAAUGAGGGGAAAAUACUGAAAACACCAGUAAGUCAGCUCUCCAAGGCACAACAAGAAAAAACAAGGCAGCAGUGGAGGAGCUACUGUGGUGGAAGUUACCUUAAUUUCCCCCAGUCGGUCUCCGCUUGCAUCUCUGCUUGCCUGAGGGACAUCCAGAGCUGGAUGGAUAACCACCAUCUUAAGCUGGACCCAGGUAAGAGACAGAGAUGAUCUUCAUUCCUGCUCCAUCCUCUAACCUCCUUGACUUUUCUAUUUCCCUAGGGGACACCGUAGUGUCAUCAUCACCCACUGCCAAAAACAUCGGAGUGGUGAUGGACAACAGACUGUCCCUCUCCCAGAACAUCGCGGCGGUGAGUCGAACGUGCAGGUUCUUCCUGUACAACACCCGGAGAAUCCGUCCCUUCCUCACCACCUACGCAACCCAGCUUCUGGUUCAAGCGAUGGUCCUGUCCCGCCUGGACUACUGCAACUCGCUGCUGACUGGUCUGCCAGCAUCCACCAUCAGACCCCUGCAGCUCAUCCAGAAUGCUGCAGCUCGUCUGGUCUACAACCUUCCCAGACAUUCCCAUGUCACCCCCUUGCUCACUCACCUUCACUGACUGCCUGUUAUGGCUCGCAUCAAAUUUAAGACUUUGGUGCUUGCAUACCAGGCGGCUAAGGGGUCAGCACCAGGAUACAUCCAGAGGAUCAUCAGACCCUACACACCAGCCAGACCUCUUCUUUCUGCCACCUCUGGACGCUUGGCACCUCCCCUUCUUCGUGUCUGUACUUCCUGUUCGCGUCUGCUGUCUGUCCUGGCCCCUCGCUGAUGGAAUGACCUUCCCGUGGCGGUCAGUACAGCAGAGAAUCUGACUUACCUUCAAGCGCAGACUAAAGACUCAUGUCUACAGGCUGCACCUCUCCCCACCCCUCCCUAGCCUUUAGUUUAGCUCUACUCUACCUCAAUGUACCUAGUUAGGUUAAUGCGAUCUCGUUAGUUUUGUAUUUGGCAGGAUUGUUUUGUUUGAUUCUGAUUAGGCAAAUGUGAUUUUAGUGCUAGUUUUGUACUUGGCAGGAUUGUUUUGUUUAUUUGCUGAACAGGUUACCCUACAGGGUUGGAGUCCUGAUCUAUGUGGUCACUUCUGGCACAAUGAUCUUUACUUCACUCUAGUGUGUUUUUCUGCACCUCUGUACUUUAAACUGAUACACUUGUUGUACGUCGCUCUGGAUAACAGCGUCUGCUAAAUGCCUGUAAUGUAAUGUAAUACUAUUCAAGAAAAGCUCACUAUUGUUUAACAUUUACAUUAUUAACAUUUUUUGAUAACUAUGUAUAUGUCCCUAACAGGGUGGAAUGCCAGUUCCUGAACAAUCUACCCAUAAUUAUUAUUUAUUAUUUUUGAGUCCCUGAGCUUGACCGAUAUGUAUUCCUACUAGUUAAACAUGUCACUAUUCUUAUAGAAUGCUAAAAACAAGAAAAACAUGUAAUUUUUCCCCAAAAAUUAUAAAGCCAAAAUGUU